UACGUAGGGUGCAAGCGUUGUCCGGAAUUAUUGGGCGUAAAGAGCUCGUAGGCGGUCAGUCGCGUCUGCUGUGAAAACCUCGGGGCUUAACUCCGGGCCUGCAGUGGGUACGGGCUGACUAGAGUGCGGUAGGGGAGGACUGGAAUCCUGGUGUAGCGGUGAAAUGCGCAGAUAUCAGGAGGAACACCGAUGGCGAAGGCAGGUCUCUGGGCCACUACUGACGCUGAGGAGCGAAAGCGUGGGGAGCGAACAGG
rnacentral:rRNA from 1 species